rnacentral:lncRNA from 1 species
AAAAGGCCCAAAUAUUGACCCGGUUGAAAUUCUCUGGCUGAUGAAGAAGUUUCACUGGGGACUUUUCAAAUCAGGCAUCUUCAGGGUUUUUGAAGAUACUCAUUGAGGUUUCUCUUCUUCGUGUUCCUCUCCCAAAACCUAAACGCUGUUUAUAAUACCUUUCUCACCGCCAUCGAUAAACCCUACUGGAACCCUAAUUUAUUGGGGGCUCUGAGGAAGCAACGAUUUGAUAAGUUUGGUUGCUUAAUCUAUGUCGAUUGUAAAAGAUUCGGGCUUUGAAGCCCUUGAGAAGCUUAAGUCAACUGAACCACCAGUUUUUCUUGCGCCAAGUUCAAUAUCUGAGGUGGCUCGUACUGCAUCUCAGUACCUAUUCGAGAAGUUGAAACCGUUCAACCCUAAAUCUCCAUUUGAUCAGCUCUUGGUUGAUGGGUUUGAUGCGGAGCAGAUUUGGCAGCAAAUUGAUAUUCAGUGUCAACCGUUGUUGUCUAGCUUGCGGCAGGACGUUAAGAGAUUUGCUCAAAACCCUAAAGAGAUUCGUAAACUUGGGAAUUUGGCCCUCAAGGUUUCUCAUGAAGAUGAUGUCGAUGAGAUGGAUAUGGAUUGUUUUGACUCGGAUGAUGAUGAUGAUGAGCUAGAAGCUACUGAAAGCGAUGGAGAUGAAGAAGAGGACGACGAUGAGGAAGAAGAAGAUGAUGUAGAGGAAGAUGAGGAGGAAAAGAGUGGAGACCAUGAAGGAAUAGAGGACAAGUUCUUCAAGAUAAAAGAAUUGGAGGAGUUUUUGGAGGAGGGUGAAGCAGAAGAGUAUGGAAUAGACUACAAAAACAAGAACGGGGUUGCAAAGAGAAAGAAACAAAAUUUGCGCGAUGAUGAUGAAGAAGAAGAUGAUGAGGAGGACGAGGAUGAAGAAGAAGAUGAUGAG